rnacentral:lncRNA from 1 species
UAAUAACAGGUUUUUCUUCCCAACGCCUGAGCCGAUGCCACGCAAAGCAACCAAGCACCCUUGAGUGAACCCUGAAACGUUGGCUGCCUUGGCUUUUCCAUCAAGCUCUUGAUUCAGGAGAGAAGCAUGCCCUGCCCUUUGAGCAUUUCCAACUCCAGCAGCCCUGGCCUGAGGUGGGCCCUCGGGUGGGUUGGUGGUUGUUUCCCACAGGCCAGGGUGGUGUUUGUUUAAAGCCCCAUGUUGGUGAUGAUUGCACUUCUUUCUCCCUUUUCCUUUCACCCUGUGUCAGUGUUGCGCACUGGCUUUUUCCUUUUUAUGAAGUCACAGGAUGCUGCUGAAGUCUGCCCUCUGGGAGGAGAAAUGAUGCUUCCUUUUUCUCCUCGUUGCACUGAAGGAAUCCCCAUCAUCGUCUGAAGGCACGCACAGUCUGGAGUUCUGUUUAUGAAAGAACCUCCUUGGUGGGACUCAGCAUCUGGUGCCUGGAGACUUGCCUAUCCCGGCACCCGGCACUUUGAGGAUGCCCUCCUGUGUCACAGACAGCACAUGCAGAGGCUCUGGAAGGUCCUUCUAGUUGUGCAGUGUGGGACGCCACCUCAGCAUGGCUUGAUGAGCAGUGUAGGUCCGUGCCCGGGAUCCGAACCAGCAAAACUCGGCUGCUGAAGCAGAGUGUGUGAACUUAACCGCUCCACCACGGGGCUGGCCCUGACCUCGUGAUUUUUGCAGAUCACUAUUCCGUUGGAGUCCACAGUUUCAUGGAACACUCGGUUACUUUUGGCACUGUCAUAAACACUGUAAUUUUCCUGCCUCUUGGGUAACAUCUUGGUGGGGGGGCGAUGGGUAGAAGAAAAGCGGGGAAACUGAUUUGAAAGGCAUAAUUAAUUCCAGGGGCCUGUUCAAAGAAUAGCUUCAUUAAAGAACGUUUACAAGGUCAAAUCUCUGUGUGUUUUCGUGACAUAUCAAGUGUUCCUCGUGGCUUCUCAACAUUUUCCCAAGAUCUUGGUCUUAGGAGCGACCCUCAAAGGUGGGAGUGUGAGAGUUGGG